CUGUUCUUACAGAAGAUCCCAGUUCAAGAGCUUUACUGGACAUAUUGCUCUGCAGUCGCUGCAGGUUGUUAACAUACAGGUUUUACAAACGUUAUCACUGCAAGGUUUCUAUAGUGUCUGUACAGCAUUUUAUACCUGCUUAAUUAGAAGUUAAAUCCAGGUUAUGGCCACAGUAAUGGCUACCAGUCUCAGCAAAAAUAGGAGAUGAUAUUUUGGAAGACCUCAGCAUUUAAUUGCUUUGGAGCAGACUGCCUAGCAGGACCUGCACUACUUUUUUAAAAUGAUGUAAGGAAAUGGCAUGAAAAACAGCCGCACAGGCUUUAUCAGCCCUUCUGUGCUGCUUCAGGAAAUACUUUUAGUUGUGGAUUGCUGGUGAUGUGAUGACGUGGUUGUAUGCCCAGCUGCUGGAGACUGUUCAGAGACAGGACUGGUGCACUGCAAAGGGCGUUUCCAGUAGUUCAAAGAAAAGGGGGGGAAAAAAAGUACUUUGAAUUGUCACAUGCUGUUAAUCAGAACUGGAAAUCCAAAUUUUCUUCCAAGUUUCUUAUUUAAACUAGUAUGGAAGACCAAUGAAACAGAACAUGACUACCAGCCUUUGUAUUUUGUUAUUGCAGUGAAGCAAAACUGCUAAGCCCUGCUUUUCUCUUCACUUUUGCGAGCUUAGUUUGUGGAAGUACUGACGGGGAGACAUCUGCCAGCGUGAUUGAGCUGCAGCAUUUACGGCUGAGUUCAGAUACUGAAAAAAAUGCUGGCUGAAGCAUAGAGUCACAGAUACACUUUUCACAGGCAAAGGAAUCCAGAUUCUCAAAGAAAAGCUGUUCAGUGUAUAAUUUAAAAAUGAAAUAUUUUUUCCCCAUACCAUUUAACUGUGCCUGCUUCAUUUCUGUACACACUCAACAGGAUGAGACGGGAGCAUAUCUCAUCGAUAGAGAUCCCACAUAUUUUGGUCCAAUACUGAACUACCUCCGACAUGGGAAGCUUAUCAUAAACAAGGAGCUCGCAGAAGAAGGGGUACUGGAAGAAGCUGAGUUUUACAACAUUGCAUCACUUGUGCGGCUGGUGAAGGAGCGGAUACGGGAUAAUGAGAACAGAACCUCUCAAGGACCUGUGAAGCAUGUAUACAGAGUCCUUCAGUGCCAAGAGGAAGAGCUCACACAGAUGGUGUCCACCAUGUCUGAUGGGUGGAAAUUUGAACAGCUAAUCAGCAUUGGAUCUUCAUAUAACUAUGGAAAUGAAGACCAGGCAGAAUUCCUCUGUGUUGUGUCUAGGGAACUCAACAAUUCUACCAAUGGCAUUGUCAAAGAGCCCAGCGAGAAGGCAAAGUCCAUGCAUUUUCCCCAGGACAGCAACAAAAGAUGACAUUUUAAACUCCUGGCAGGCAGCUAAAGCAUUUCUAGAGAAGAGACUCUGUUUUAACCAGCCUGUCAUUCGAUUCUUCAAGAGCGAGGAUCUCGGAUGUAAUACAAGUGUCCACUCCUCUAGAACUCCCAGAUGUCAAAAGGGCAAUCUAGUUGGACAGAGCAUCUCUCCACAAUGCAAACUUGCCCCUGUACAGUAACCAAGCUAAUGCAAAACAAAGCCAAGCCUGUCCUGCCAGUUAUGAGUAAUUCUGGUCCUAAUGAAAGGCUUUUCUUCUAUUCUGGAGAACAAGAAAGGAGAAAACUCUUCCAGGUGAAUUCCAGUCCAUUCCACAAGUAUUUGUUUUAUUUUUUUGGCCAGUGCUCUACUGAAUUUUUCCAACAACAGAUGCACUGGAUUCCCAGUUGGAUUCUUUGGAAAGGUUGGUUAGGUCCACGCAGCCUUGUAGUCAGUUCUACCUUACACAGGCUGCCAUGAGUGGAAAGAUCUGUUUGACCUGUGCUGCUUCUUGCACCUAGGUCUACAACCAUCAGAAUAGUACAGAGAUCUUGCAGUGCUCCCUCCUGAUCAGCCAGUCCCCCGUAGAUCAGAAAGGGCUUUAAAAGAAGGAACAAAGAAGCUACCUGUAAAAAACAAUUUUUUUCAUUCUUGCUUUGUAUUUGUUUCUUAUACAGUUCCUAAGAGCUGAGCUUAGAUAACAAGGGGAGCGGAGUUGCACGUACAUCUAACACAGGUCUUGCUGUUAACACCAUUAUAUAUGGGCUCCUGGCAUUUUUCAAAGCGCACUGCUUCUCAUGCAUAAAAACAGACCUGUGUUCGCCCAGAACAGUGACAGAGUAAUGGUUCUGUCCUGUACUCUUCUCUGUUGAAGAAGAGUGGUGACAUCUUCCCCGUCGAUACCUUGCCUUGACCAUAUAUCUUAGCCUGGUGCAAAGUCACAAGGUUAGGGACUUGUUCCUUCCAAGCUCAGCUUUGCCUUGUAGCCAGCAGCAUGGGCUCUGUCACCUGCCUUUUCACCAAGGGAGGACUGUGGGCAGAACUUCUUUUGUACUGUAGCAAGCAGGUAGGUUUGAUUUUACCCAUGGGAGUCUUCACGGAGGAGAUCCAUUAUUUACAUGCAGUGAUUUAACUGCAUCUUCCCUCGUGUCCCCAACCUUUAAAGAGAUCACCUCAAAUUACACAGGGGCAUCACAGAGCUGGAGGGUGUGGGGGGUGUGAAAAGUUGCCAAACUGUUGUAAUAUAUUUUGUCCAAUGUGUCAACUUCUGUGACUUUUUUUGAAUGCCUUGGAUGGAUGUGCAAAAUGUUCGUUUGUGCCUCUCUUGAACUCUAAUCUUAGCCAAAUUGCAGUCACUGUUUCCUCUGUGUUAAGCUGUGCCAUCCCUAACCAAGGGCAUGUCCCUCCUAGUCUGGUAAAUGAAAUUUCUUAGGAAUUUCCUGCUGUGCGUUUUUCUCCUUUCAUUCCUGCUUUGUUCUUUGUAGCCCAUGUGUUCUGGCACUUCGUUUUUUUUGAGUCAAAUUCCAAACUGAUGCUACAUGCAAAGCUUCAGAGAUGUUGGAAUUCGCAGACAUGGACGAGCUCAGAGCAGAUGAUUCUCAAUAAGGUAUCAGAAAUUCCUCACCUAGUUUGAGGAGUUCGGUUCUUUUAUGGAAAAAUUCAGCUACCUGUGGUCUCCUUACGGUGUUGAGAUGGAAAUAGGAAGGUCACCUGUCUUAUCACUUAUUGCUGGCAGGGCCUAAGGAUAGCAAAAUAUUACCAAAGGUCUGACAACCAGUUCAGUAAACAAGGCAUACAGCAAAGGCACAGAGCAACACAGCUGCACUCAGCCUCUUGGUGCAUGCUCGUGCCUGUCCUUUUCCAUCCUUUGCCAAUGUUCCACACCCUCACUGAAGGCUUUGCCUCAUUCACAAGAAUUGCCAGUCAGUUAUCAAUGCUAGUUUAGUCCUGGUAACAACAGACCAUGCCAAAUGUCUUUGAAUUCACAUUCUGUCAGUUAUAGGCUAUUGAAACACAGCUGGCUUGCCAUUAUGCUGAAGAACCCAGCUCUCCUUCCCUCCAUCUUCCCUGUUUAUAAUGUAGUGAGAUGGUAUUGGUGUGAUUAGACCAUACAGCUUGGCUGGGCCUAAAUAACACUGUGAUAGUAUAGAUAUCUCUCCUCUGCCAGUAUCUUCUAGUCUCAGUCAUUGUGCUCUCAGCUGAGAAAUCAAGAAUCAUCAUAAUGCAAGUUAACAGCCUGAAAAGCCCUCUAGUUCUCGUAUUCAUUUGUGUUCUCUCCCUUCCUUGGAGGAGGGAGUUUCUGGGAACUGGAAGGAAAUAUCAAACUGAAGGUGACAGGGACUGGGUGAGCUGCAUCUGUCACAUCAGUGCCAGCUGAACACCUCAAACUCACAGCAACACCAAUGAGCUCACCUGAAGGGAGACAUUCUGGCCAGUACACUUCAAGCAGGUAAAAGCAAUACCUUGUUCCAAAAUGCCAUACAUGGUGAAGCCUACGAGAGAUUGCAAAAACGAUAUCAUCACUCCCUACUGAGCCACAGAGAGCAAAAAAAACAAAAAACAAAAAACCAACCAUUAUCGGUUGAGCAGAGCAGCUGUUUAACUCAUCCAUGUGAAAGACUAUCAAAGCUGCACCUUGGAUCUCCCCUCCACGGUGCUUUCUGCAGCAAGGGCUUGUCAGUGCAUUCGAGUCUUGGCUUCGGUUGCACAGGCCUUGAGUUCUACAGAGUUGACAUAGAAAAACAGUCUGCUCCUGAAUAGCCCUUAUUGUUGGAUGAUACUUAGGGCAAGGCAAAAGACCAUGAAGGUAAAAUCCCAGUGGAGGAUUUCUCUUCCCUGAUAGUGCUAAUGACCUGUACCCCGAGACCAAGGGCUGCUCAGCAUGAUACACCAGCUGUAUCUCUAUUUGCUCAGCACAGGGCUUUUCCUUCUGUUACCUUUCACUCACAACUAUAUCAAAACUAACAGUGAAGAUGAAAUUUGCCCCACUGACUCUAAGGUAGUAUGCUGCGAGUAGGAGGAGAGGUACUGGAUAUCCAGGAGUGUUUGUACCUCUUGGGAAAGUUCACUUUAAAGCAUUAAUCCUGGGAAUGGAAAGUGUGUUUUGAUUUUUUUUUUUUAAGUUUUUCCAGUGGCCUGGGUUGUUCCAUUAUGGCAAGACUGGAAAUAACCUCUUACAGUGUCUUUGUUUCUGUAUAUUUUUAAAUAGAUUUUCUCAGGGGUGACUGAGUGGGCUGAGGCAGAGGGGGCAGUGGGAUGGAGCAGACCCCAGCCCUGCAGCUGGGCUGUGGGCUCCUCCUUUGCAAAUCCAGAGGUUUUGUACAGUUUGUCACCUGUCAGUGCCCUUUGCUACUGUUUCUCUUUGUUUAUUAAAUGUGUUCGAAUAACAGUUGAGAUGCUGCAAUUAAUUUGUUUUUCCAAUAAAGAUUCUGAAAUGGGUUUGAAGCAUA